rnacentral:rRNA from 1 species
CUAGCAUAUCAAUAAGCGGAGGAAAAGAAACCAACAGGGAUUGCUCUAGUAACGGCGAGUGAAGCAGCAAUAGCUCAAAUUUGAAAUCUGGCGUCUUCGACGUCCGAGUUGUAAUUUGUAGAGGAUGCUUCUGAGUGGCCACCGACCUAAGUUCCUUGGAACAGGACGUCAUAGAGGGUGAGAAUCCCGUAUGCGGUCGGAAAGGCGCUCUAUACGUAGCUCCUUCGACGAGUCGAGUUGUUUGGGAAUGCAGCUCUAAAUGGGAGGUAAAUUUCUUCUAAAGCUAAAUAUUGGCCAGAGACCGAUAGCGCACAAGUAGAGUGAUCGAAAGAUGAAAAGCACUUUGGAAAGAGAGUUAAAAAGCACGUGAAAUUGUUAAAAGGGAAGGGAUUGCAACCAGACUUGCUCGCGGUGUUCCGCCGGUCUUCUGACCGGUCUACUCGCCGCGUUGCAGGCCAGCAUCGUCUGGUGCCGCUGGAUAAGACUUGAGGAAUGUAGCUCCCUCGGGAGUGUUAUAGCCUCUUGUGAUGCAGCGAGCGCCGGGCGAGGUCCGCGCUUCGGCUAGGAUGCUGGCGUAAUGGUCGUAAUCCGCCCGUCUUGAAACACGGACCAAGGAGUCUAACAUCUAUGCGAGUGUUCGGGUGUCAAACCCCUACGCGUAAUGAAAGUGAACGGAGGUGAGAACCGCAAGGUGCAUCAUCGACCGAUCCUGAUGUCUUCGGAUGGAUUUGAGUAAGAGCAUAGCUGUUGGGACCCGAAAGAUGGUGAACUAUGCCUGAAUAGGGUGAAGCCAGAGGAAACUCUGGUGGAGGCUCGCAGCGGUUCUGACGUGCAAAUCGAUCGUCAAAUUUGGGUAUAGGGGCGAAAGACUAAUCGAACCAUCUAGUAGCUGGUUCCUGCCGAU